UUUUUCCGCUCCCCUUGGCCUUGGUGCACUGUCUCUUUAAAUGGGGCGCCACACCACGGCUCGCGAGUGUUGUGGGUCUCGGGAGUGUCUGAGCUGCUGCAGAUGCCUCCUGCUGUAUGACGAUGUGCUGAGAAUGACUAUUAAGCGGAACUGGCCAGGUUCCAGUAUUGGAUGGCGAGCUAGAAGGCCCCGAGCCUGGACAUAUUGAGUGCGCCCGUCCGCCGGUGCGGUAGGAGGCGCUGCAGCCACUCCCCACACACACCCACUUGCACACACGCACACUAACAACCUCCGCUGGUGGAUUGUUUGAACUUUGCGAGUUUUGCACAGACUGAAACCCAGGUUCACCAAACUUGACGAUCUGAACUCUUUGUGCGCCUAAGUGGAUCUA